CAAAAGUUUUAUUCUAGCUUAGAAUUUGGGUUUAAUUUUAUUUUACAUGUAAGUUGUAGCGUUUUAGGUUUAAAAUUUAAAUAAUUUUUUUUAUUAAUUUAAUUCGCAGUGGGGGAAUUUGAAUAUCAACGUUAGUUGGAUUUAGGGAUAAUUAAAUUAAUAUUAACAAAAUUUGUGCCAGCAGUUGCGGUUACACAGAUAUUAUUAUUCAAAUUUUUCGGUUAUAGUUAGUCAGUUCUUUUUCUUUAAAAAAUAGCUUAUAGGGUGGAAUUUUUAAGUUAUUUUAAGGUUAAUAGGGGUGGACGAGGCUGAGAAAUUCUGCAUUAAACUAGGAUUAGAUACCCUAUUAUUAUGAACGUUAAAUUUGAUUCCGGGUUAGUAACAGUUAUUUUCUUGAAAAUUAAAGAUUUUGGCGGUACUUUAGUCCUUUCAGAGGAACCUGUCCUGUAAUCGAUGACCCACGAUUUUAUAUACUUUUUUUAUUGGUUUACAUAUCGUCGUAGUUUGAAUAUGCUGUUAGGUUUGUUAAUGUUCAAGAUUCUUUUGUAGGAAGGAUAUCAGAUCAAGGUGUAGCUUAUAGAAAAGUAGAGAUGGGUUACAAUAAUUUUAUUUAGAAGGAUUUAUAUAUUUAGAUGUAUAAUAAAUACGGAUUUGGGGGUAAUUUUAAUUAAAUUAUUAAGGUGAUUUAGGCUCUAGGGUAUGCACAUAUCGCCCGUCGCUUUCACUCUAAGGUGAAAUAAGUCGUAACAUAGUAGGCCUACCGGAAGGUGGGCCUGGGUAGAC
rnacentral:ncRNA from 1 species